rnacentral:rRNA from 1 species
UGCAGUCGACGAUGAUGACCGUGCUUGCACGGUCUGAUUAGUGGCGAACGGGUGAGUAACACGUGAGUAACCUGCCCCUCACUUCGGGAUAACCUCGAGAAAUUGAGGCUAAUACCGGAUAUGACCUUCCGCCGCAUGGUGGUUGUUGGAAAGUUUUUCGGUGAGGGAUGGACUCGCGGCCUAUCAGUUUGUUGGUGAGGUAAUGGCUCACCAAGACGAUGACGGGUAGCCGGCCUGAGAGGGCGACCGGCCACACUGGGACUGAGACACGGCCCAGACUCCUACGGGAGGCAGCAGUGGGGAAUAUUGCACAAUGGGCGAAAGCCUGAUGCAGCGACGCCGCGUGGGGGAUGACGGCCUUCGGGUUGUAAACCUCUUUCAGUA